GGGAGAGGGAGGAGGUGGGGAGAGAAAACCCAAUUCACCCCCUUCCUUUUUAAUUCUUUCUCCUGGUGUGUCUGCUCCACCGCCCGAGCUAAUCCCCCAAAUCCGGUCUCCUAAGCCGCAGCUGCUUUCCUUCGCAGUGAUGAAUGGCUCGGGGAGGGAAGCCCCCACUGCCGUCCACUUUGGUGGAGGACAUUGCCCAAAUCCGAGGCACUUAGGAGUUCCUGGUCUGCCAGCAUGAAGCCGUGGCUGUCUCCUCCCCUAGUGUCUAGCUUGCUCUGGGACCCUCUCUGUCUUGGUCCCUCCAACGUGUUCAAGCCGUCUCUGACCCACUGUCCCAGUUUGGCUGGAGGUGCUAGGGUUGCCCCCCCCCCCCCCCCCCCCCCCGGGAGGGUGCCUGGUAUAGAGAGGAGAAGCAGGGUUGAGGGACAGGGGAAGGGGUCAACAGGAAGGCUGGGAACCCCCUGGUGGUUGGGGAUGAUGAGCUGUAGGUUCACACCUCUGCUCGGCUCCGCCAAGCAGAGGCUCUUUCUCGCCUCCAUACCCCAGAUCAUCUCAGAUCUGAGCUGGGGACAAAGGCCAGAGAGGCGGAUGGGGAAUACAUCCAAGCCACCAGCUUGCAGUCAGAUGCAGCCAACUGUGAGUUAGCGGGGGGAUCUGUCCUGUGUCCACCUUCCUUUCCUUCCUAUGCUGAGUUGAUGGGGGCCAUCUUUCUAUCCCUUAGCCUCUCCUGGGCUAGAGGCAUGGAAGCUGAGGCCGGAGGGGAAGCUGCAGGAUGGGAGGGGAAGUUUCCAUCACGAACACAGUUAAGUAGGGGCUGCCUCCAGGCGCUGGUCCACUUGCUUCAUUGAAACUCUGCACUCUGCCCAUUUCAGACACUCAAAACCCUUUCUCCUCAAGUAGACAGAGCAGGAGGAAGUUCAUCAGGACCUACCUUUUCCAGGAAGCCCUCCUGUUGGUGCUGAGACACUCCGCAAAGUGUGAAGGGAUCAAGGCAGUGUGGGCCAAGCAGAGAGAGACGUGGAGGCACAGCCCCGACAGCUCCCCAGAUCUUCUCCGGUGAGCAUCCCCCCAGCCUGGCCCAGGGCAUGCCCCAGUUCACUUUUGCCUGCUUCUGUGGCCUCCACGGCUUCUGCAAGAUGAAGAGGAAGAAGGAGGAAGUUCACAGACAGCGGGAAACGGCCGUGUGAGCUGGACCGGGGCCCCUUCUGCAGCCUCCAGCAGGUUCCAGGCCUGAGGGCGCGCCCACAUCUGGAAGGACCCACCUGGCCUUCUGGAGACCGGGAGACCGAGAAGCCUCGGGGCAGCCCCAGGAGCGAAACUUCUUUCCUGCCCUCAGGGCUCCAAGCCCUCCACUCAGGGUGACUCUUCGGCUGAGGGAUGUGCCGCCUUGGUGGGCUAGGAGCGCUGCUCCUGGAUGGGAAACUGGACCUCCCAGCAGCCCCCACGCCGGGGGAGGCCUCAGGCAGGCCGGGCCGAGUGGCGGUGUAAGAGGAGCCCCCCUCCAAAGCCAGGAUGCAGUCUCUCCUGGGAGCCCGGGACUUGAGGCAGGAGCCUCUCCGGAGGAGCAUCCCUGAGAGAGGGGUCCUUUCCUGUCCCCUCCCAGCGUUCUCCUGGGCCAGGUGGAGCCAGGACCAAGGCGGGCAGCCAGGUUGGGAGUCAGAUGGCAGAGUCGGGACAGUGAGAGGCAGGCAACGUCCUCACGGCAGGAGGCCAGCUCGGUGUCCCCUGGGCGCCUCCCUCUCCCACACUCCAGAAGGCAGCUUUCUCUCCAGGCCUGGCCUCGCAGACCCUCUGACCCCUGUCACGCCUCCUUGCAGCACCACAGAUGUGGGGGCCUGUUUCCCAGGCCCCGACUCCCCUUCUUGGGAACUGUCAUCCAGGACCAGACUGUGGGGCCCCCUUCCUGGACUGUGCCGUGUCCUCCCUUUAUUCUCCUGUCUCCUCGCCUCGCCCACCUGCCUCUACUUUCUCUUCUCAGAAGCCAUAGAGAGGGAAGGGCUUGCAUGUUGUGCCUUUGGGGGAAACGGGGUAGAGGGACCCUCUAGGACCUGCCUUGCCUUUUCCCCCUAAUCUCUCCACUAACCUCAAUCUUCCAGGGUCAGUCUCAGCCCCCUCUCCCAGCCUAUUUCCAGCCGGUAAGAAGCAGACAAACCCCCCUUUCCUUCUUCCUUCCUUCCCUCCUCCCUCCUCCCAUGUGAUCUAACUUACCCUUCUGUCACGGUGCCCGAACCUCUCGGGUGCUAGAGGGUCACACGGGCAGCAAUGGUAGUGGCAGAGACACUUUGGGCAGAUUCUGUAGCUUUAGCAAGUCUGCCCUCUCCUUCAGCACAGAAAAGGUCGGCCCAGGAACAAAGUCAGAGGCCCGGUAGCCUCUGGGGACAGAAUAUUCUUUCUGACAGUUAACAGGUGGGCUGGGGAGAGGAGGUCAGGACCCCAGGACUGAAGGUGGGGCUGUGUGCCCUUUUCCUUGGAAUGUGCCUCUCUGGGCAGUCAGGGAGGGCAGAAGACCACCUGUGCUGGUUCAUCCGGAACCUGGGAGAAGCAAAGGCACAUUCUGUCCUCGCAGCUUUUCUUUGCCUGUCCAGCUCAUGCCCCAUGCUCAGGGGCCUUUCCUGAGCUUCCGGCAGAUUUGGUGGGAGACAGGUCAUCUUUGUGAAGCCACAGCACCGCUUACGAUCCCUCUCCUCCCAUCCUCCAACCACCUCCUUUGCCCCUAGCACCCAGCCCCAGACCUGUACAAUCUGUUAGUUCCUUUUAUAUCCAAAGAACUAUAAACAGAAGUCCUUCCCUCAAGGAAACAGCAAUAAAGGCCAGUGGGGUCACAAGGGACAGAGGAAAAGCUCCCCGGUUAUUUGGCCUCUUGGACGGUAGAGGCCUUGGAAGAGGCAGAGACGGGCAGAAAACGCUUUCAAGGGUACCUUGAUCAGGCGGCAGGGGAGCCCGCCUGGAGGGCAUGUGUGUCCCUAGCGGUGGCCUGUGAGGCUGCAGGCCUAGAGAAGCCACUCUUGCGGUGGAGGAUGAAAUUGUAUCCCUGGAACCUCAGAGGUGUUGGGUGUUAGGUCCUGACCACAUGGGCUCACCCGGAGGAAAGGUCAGGAGAGGUGGCGAAGGACGGUUUUGCCCCUGCGUACCUCUCGGGGCUCAGCAGCGAUGUCCGCUGCAGGGGUCUGGCAGUAAGCCCGUCCAGAGAGCUUCUUCCCCCCGGGGAGAACUCCUUUGACUCCAAAGGGAUACCGGAUAUCUGGAGCCCCUGCUACGGGAGCAUGGGAGAGGUCCCAAGGUCAGGGCAUCACUGGUCUGAGUGGAGGGCUAGCCGUGCCUGCAGACGGCAGCCCGUGGCCCCUCCUUCAUCCAGGGUGAAGGUGGGGGCAAAUGCCUUGCUGAGUAGGAGGCGGCAACAGCUUUGAGCUAGACCCACCCCUCGUCCCACCGUCCCUCGGUCUCCUUCUCAGGGAAAUGGUGACUUGGCUCCUCUCAGCGCCUGGAGCCGAUCUGGAGACCUGUGCCUGCCCGUCUGCCUCUGGGUGAGCCCAGGGGAGAGGUUUCAUCCAAAAAUGCAGAAGCAGCCCUCGUGUCCACAGACCGUGCGCCCCAGGCCUCUGGCUCACAGUCCGGGCUUCUCUUCCUUCUGUUUCUUUUGGGGCAUCGAGGUCUGGCCACCCCAUUUAUUGCCCUGCCCUGAGGCUCCUCCCCAGGGGACAGGUUGGACCAUUUUGCCCUCCCCGUUCCUAAUUCCCUCCACCCCACAGUUCUCUCCCAGACUCUACCUUGAGGAGGGGGACGGGAACUCCUGGGUGGAGGAAAGGGGCACAAAAGUCAAUGGUUCUGGAAGGAGGCGAGCCUCUCCUUCUUGCUGUGUGGCACUGAGUCCUUGCUGGAGGGCGGGAGGCCCUGGCCUCCCUGGGCCUCAGUUUUCCCCUCUUGUGCUGCGGGCUGUUGAAUGGGUGAUAAAGAAACGUGAGGGGUGCAUGAGGUUCUUGUGACUCGAAUGUUGUCUGGGGCCGGGCCCUAGGGACCCCGAGGGGCUUCUUGAAGUCUUUUAUUUUAUUUUAUUUUAUUUUUGUAGAAUAUCAUUUCCUUCUCCACUCCCAGGGAAGGGCUUUUUGGAUGUCGCAGGAGUCAACAGAAAUAUAUACAGAGAUUGUUAUUUUUGAAACAAAUAAAAAGAGCAAUAAUUUAACUGAAA